UCUCCCAGCAAUGGACAAAGCAAUACCUUGUUAAUGGUGUUGUUCUUCUGUCAGUCAGGGGCAGAGCAGAUGGCAUCCUAGUUUGGUGCCUGGCUUGGUGGCCACAGCUGUGUUAUGCCUGAGACUCAUAA
ensembl:snoRNA LOC120098375 small nucleolar RNA SNORA48